rnacentral:rRNA from 1 species
CAGUAGCCACGGGAAUACGUAGGGUGCAAGCGUUAAUCGGAAUUACUGGGCGUAAAGCGUGCGCAGGCGGUUUGUUAAGACAGAUGUGAAAUCCUCGGGCUCAACCUGGGAACUGCAUUUGUGACUGGCAAGCUAGAGUAUGGCAGAGGGGGGUGGAAUUCCGCGUGUAGCAGUGAAAUGCGUAGAUAUGCGGAGGAACACCGAUGGCGAAGGCAGCCCCCUGGGCCAAUACUGACGCUCAUGCACGAAAGCGUGGGGAGCAAACAGGAUUAGAUACCCCUGUAGUCCCUGUCUCUUAUAC